rnacentral:rRNA from 1 species
CAGCAGCCGCGGUAAUGCGAGGGGGGCUAGCGUUGCUCGGAAUGACUGGGCGUAAAGGGCGCGUAGGCGGAUUGUUUAGUUAGGCGUGAAAUUCCUGGGCUUAACCUGGGGACUGCGCUUAAUACAGGCAGUCUAGAGUGAGGAAGAGGGUUGUGGAAUUCCCAGUGUAGAGGUGAAAUUCGUAGAUAUUGGGAAGAACACCGGUGGCGAAGGCGGCAACCUGGUCCUUGACUGACGCUGAGGCGCGAAAGCGUGGGGAGCAAACAGGAUUAGAUACCCCGGUAGUCCCUGUCUCUUAUAC